GUUUCUUAUUUUUACAGUAACGUUUAUGUGUAUUUUAAUAUUUUAUAUUACAGCUCUUUCGAGGUGGAGGACUGAUAAUGGAAGAAAACUGCUGCAUCUUCCGGGCCAUCAACAUAAUAACGGGGUCAUGGGGAUGGUGAAUGAUAAGUAAUUGAGUCGAGAUUGAUAGUUUUUUAUUAUUGAUUUGCUUCCAGAACGUUGAGCAAAGCCUUCGGCUAAUUGCCGAGGUGGAACGACGGCCUGCUUUAUGGCAAAAGCGGUCGGAGUUUUACAAAAACGGAAUUCGGCGUAGGGAUGCGUGGACCGAGAUUGGUAGAAUCUUGGAACUUACCGUCGAAGAGGCCAGUUACCAGUGGAGGAAGCUGCUGACCAGCUACCGGACGUAUAAGUCCAAGCUGCGUAAAAGUCAGCAAAGCGGAGCAGCGGCUGAGGACGUUUUUCGGCCAAGAUGGUUCGCCUUCGACGCGAUGAAGUUCCUUGACGAUACCAUGAAGGACGGCACGCAUCUCGAUACGUUCGAUGACGACCUAGAACAACACACCUCCACCCAAACCCACCCAAUCCCUUCUUGUUCCUAUUCCUCAAUUCCGCCGCAACCAACAAUCCCAGCACCAACCCCAGCACCAAUCCCAGCACCAACCCCAGCACCAAUCCCAGCACCAACCCCAGCACCAACCCCAGCACCAACCCCAGCACUAAUCCCAGCACCAACCCCAGCACCAAUCCCAGCACCAAUCCCAGCACCAACCCCAGCACCAACCCCAGCACCAAUCCCAGCACCAACCCCAGCACCAACCCUA